CGAGUUAGCCAGACAAUCGCUGGUUUAUUGAAGCCCUCAACCGUGUAAACGACCUAGGGGACAAGUAAACGAGAGGAAAGUCCGAGCUACACAGGGCAGAGUGCCGGAUAACGUCCGGGAGGCGUAAGCCUACGACCAGUGCAACAGAGAGCAAACCGCCGAUGGCUCAUUGAGAUCAGGUAAGGGUGAAAGGGUGCGGUAAGAGCGCACCGCAUGACUGGUAACAGUUCAUGGCACGGUAAACUCCACUCGUAGCAAGACCAAAUAGGAAUCCAAUGUGUGGCCCGCACAGGAUUCGGGUAGGUUGCUUGAGCAUUUGUGUAAAUAAAUGCCUAGAUGAAUGAUUGUCCACGACAGAACUCGGCUUAUCGGCUAACUCGUUUU
rnacentral:RNase_P_RNA from 1 species